rnacentral:rRNA from 1 species
GACGGAGGAUGCAAGUGUUAUCCGGAAUCACUGGGCGUAAAGCGUCUGUAGGUGGUUUAGCAAGUCUGUUGUUAAAGCUUGAAGCUUAACUUCAAAAAUGCAGUGGAAACUUCUAGACUCGAGUAUGGUAGGGGUAGAGGGAAUUUCCAGUGGAGCGGUGAAAUGCGUAGAUAUUGGGAGGAACACCAGUGGCGAAAGCGGCUUCCUGGUCCAGCACCGACGUUCAGGCACGAAAGCGUGGGGAGCAAACAGG